CGGCGAACGGGUGAGUAACGCGUGGAUAACCUGCCCUGAGGUGUGGAACAACCAGGGGAAACUCUGGCUAAUACCGCAUGAUACCGAGAGGUCAAAGGGGGCUCGCAAGGGCUCUCGCCACAGGAGGGGUCCGCGUUCGAUUAGCUAGUUGGUAGGGUAAUGGCCUACCAAGGCGACGAUCGAUAGCCGGCCUGAGAGGGUGAUCGGCCACACUGGAACUGAGACACGGUCCAG
rnacentral:rRNA from 1 species